GACGAACGCUGGCGGCGUGCCUAAUACAUGCAAGUCGAACGAACAGCUACUAGGUUCUUGCCUUUGGUCAAGGUGACUGGCGAACGGGUGACUAACACGUGGCUAACCUACCUCAUUGUGAUGACUACCAGUCGGCAACGACUGCUCAUACCGCUUUGUACAUCGGAUUACAUGAUCCAGUGAGGAAAGUUUUCGCAUGCUAUCUCUAUGAGUUCGACCCGCGUUGCAUUAGCUAGUUGGUAGGGUAAAGGCCUACCAAGGCGAUGAUGCAUAGCCGACCUGAGAGGGUGAUCGGCCACAUUGGAACUGAGACACGGCCCAGACUCCUACGGGAGGCAGCAGUAGGGAAUCUUCCGCAAUGGGCGAAAGUCUGACGGAGCAACGCCGCGUGAGUGAAGAAGGUCUUCGGAUCGUAAAGCUCUGUUGUUAGGGAAGAACAGAGGAGAAAGUAACUGUGAUGGGUGUGACGGUACCUAAUCAGAAAGCCACGGCUAACUACGUG
rnacentral:rRNA from 1 species